GACGAACGCUGGCGGCGUGCUUAACACAUGCAAGUCGAACGAAGAGCGAUGGAAGCUUGCUUCUAUCAAUCUUAGUGGCGAACGGGUGAGUAACGCGUAAUCAACCUGCCCUUCAGAGGGGGACAACAGUUGGAAACGACUGCUAAUACCGCAUACGAUCUAAUCUCGGCAUCGAGGAUAGAUGAAAGGUGGCCUCUACAUGUAAGCUAUCACUGAAGGAGGGGAGUGCGUCUGAUUAGCUAGUUGGAGGGGUAGCGGCCCACCAAGGCGAUGAUCAGUAGCCGGUCGGAGAGGAUGAACGGCCACAUUGGGACUGAGACACGGCCCAGACUCCUACGGGAGGCAGCAGUGGGGAAUCUUCCGCAAUGGACGAAAGUCUGACGGAGCAACGCCGCGUGAGUGAUGACGGCCUUCGGGUUGUAAAGCUCUGUUAAUCGGGACGAAAGGCCUUCUUGCGAAUAGUGAGAAGGAUUGACGGUACCGGAAUAGAAAGCCACGGCUAACUACGUG
rnacentral:rRNA from 1 species